rnacentral:rRNA from 1 species
ACGCUGGCGGCAGGCCUAACACAUGCAAGUCGAGCGGUAGAGAGAAGCUUGCUUCUCUUGAGAGCGGCGGACGGGUGAGUAAUGCCUAGGAAUCUGCCUGGUAGUGGGGGAUAACGUUCGGAAACGGACGCUAAUACCGCAUACGUCCUACGGGAGAAAGCAGGGGACCUUCGGGCCUUGCGCUAUCAGAUGAGCCUAGGUCGGAUUAGCUAGUUGGUGGGGUAAUGGCUCACCAAGGCGACGAUCCGUAACUGGUCUGAGAGGAUGAUCAGUCACACUGGAACUGAGACACGGUCCAGACUCCUACGGGAGGCAGCAGUGGGGAAUAUUGGACAAUGGGCGAAAGCCUGAUCCAGCCAUGCCGCGUGUGUGAAGAAGGUCUUCGGAUUGUAAAGCACUUUAAGUUGGGAGGAAGGGUUGUAGAUUAAUACUCUGCAAUUUUGACGUUACCGACAGAAUAAGCACCGGCUAACUCUGUGCCAGCAGCCGCGGUAAUACAGAGGGUGCAAGCGUUAAUCGGAAUUACUGGGCGUAAAGCGCGCGUAGGUGGUUUGUUAAGUUGGAUGUGAAAUCUCCGGGCUCAACCUGGGAACUGCAUUCAAAACUGACUGACUAGAGUAUGGUAGAGGGUGGUGGAAUUUCCUGUGUAGCGGUGAAAUGCGUAGAUAUAGGAAGGAACACCAGUGGCGAAGGCGACCACCUGGACUGAUACUGACACUGAGGUGCGAAAGCGUGGGGAGCAAACAGGA